rnacentral:lncRNA from 1 species
GCCGGAGUGUUCAGCCGUACUUUCUGGAGAUGGCAGCAUAAGUACAUGCAGCCGAAGCGUACUGGCAUUGCACCGUUUUUCCAGGUCAUUGUCGGAGGAAUGGUGUUCUUCUACACUAUUAACUAUGGAAAGCUGAAGCACCACCGAAAUUACAA